UACGUAGGGUGCGAGCGUUAAUCGGAAUUACUGGGCGUAAAGGGGGCGUAGGUGGUUUGUUAAGUCUGCUGGGAAAUCCCCGGGCUCAACCUGGGAAUGGCAGUGGAUACUGGCAAGCUAGAGUGCGGUAGAGGGUAGUGGAAUCCCCGGUGUAGCAGUGAAAUGCGUAGAGAUCGGGAGGAACACCAGUGGCGAAGGCGGCUACCUGGACCAGCACUGACACUGAAGCACGAAAGCGUGGGGAGCAAACAGG
rnacentral:rRNA from 1 species